rnacentral:tRNA from 1 species
GGUUAUGGCUCAGUGGUAGCGCACUUGCCUGGCAUGCAUGAGGCACUGGGUUCAAGUCUCAGCACCA